UAUAGAUUUAUGUAACGCAUCGAUAGGCAGUUAGUUCCCGACAACAAAACGCAUUAAUUGAAAAACGAUGGGUAAAUUAUUAUCCUUGCGUCCGUUCAAAGGCAUUUUUUUGAAAGGAAAGCCAAAGGAUAACAUUUACUACACCUUAACCGAGAUGAACAAGGUGGUGUGUUUCUUAUUCAUCGGAUCGUAUUUUGGUAAACGAAUCGAAUUUUUUUAACAAAAGGUUCAAACUCGAACAAUUUUACGUCAAUAUAAUAACGAUUGAGACCAGACAGAAACAGAAUCGUGAUAUUACGUUAUUCCUGUUGUAUUAUUAUUAUUUGUUGUAGAACUGUUGAACUAUUUUUUAUAAAUAAAAUGGCAAACUAACAGCUGAAUA